CAGUAGCCACGGUAAUACGGAGGGAGCUAGCGUUGUUCGGAAUUACUGGGCGUAAAGCGCACGUAGGCGGUUAUUCAAGUCAGAGGUGAAAGCCCGGGGCUUAACCCCGGAACUGCCUUUGAAACUAGAUGACUAGAAUCUUGGAGAGGUCAGUGGAAUUCCGAGUGUAGAGGUGAAAUUCGUAGAUAUUCGGAAGAACACCAGUGGCGAAGGCGACUGACUGGACAAGUAUUGACGCUGAGGUGCGAAAGCGUGGGGAGCAAACAGGAUUAGAUACCCGCGUAGUCCCUGUCUCUUAUAC
rnacentral:rRNA from 1 species